UACCUUCUCAGCCGUUGGCUAAGAUCAAGUGUAGUAUCUGUUCUUUUCAGUGUGAAAACUGAAAAUGUACCCACUGGGUACAUCUUUUUCACCUGUAUUUUUCCCUUGGGCAGGUGGAGUUCCUAGUUUACUAGGAUACACUCGCAUGAGUGUCCUUUGCAUUGCACUACAGCAUUGUGACGCUCACCGCCCUC
rnacentral:snRNA from 1 species